UGGAGGGCUGGGUGCAGGACAGGGUCACGUUCUCGCUUUGGGAGCUCCCCCUUGAGGGAGAGCCAAGGGUGAUGUUCUGAGGCCAGGAGACGCCGAGACGGCCAAGGCGCUCAUCUGGAGGCGAAUUUCUGAGGGUUCACUGCUCCAUUCAUUCAGCAAACACGUGUAGAGCAGCACGGGCUGAGCGCCAGACGAGCAGGGACCUGGCCCUGGCAUUACAGCGCCCCUCAAGACAGCGAGUGUCCUGCCCUUGAGAGGUUUACAGUGCAAGGGGAAAACAAGUGAAAAGCCAAACACGCACGCAAGGAAACUGACUGUAAUACACGGAAAACUGCAUGGCGAUGCCACUAGUAAAAUGAACAGAAGGAGGCCUCUUUUAAUUUCAGUGGCCAGAGCAACCUCUGAGGAAGAAGCUUUGAACUGAGCCGGCGGGAGAGUAGGAUUUAUGUAGAAAAAGAUCUCUGGGCUAGCCUGCUAGCCAC
rnacentral:lncRNA from 1 species